rnacentral:rRNA from 1 species
UACGUAGGGUGCAAGCGUUGUCCGGAAUUAUUGGGCGUAAAGAGCGUGUAGGCGGCCAGGUAGGUCUGGUGUGAAAACUCGAGGCUCAACCUCGAGAGGUCAUCGGAAACCAUCUGGCUAGAGUCCGGAAGAGGAGAGUGGAAUUCCCGGUGUAGCGGUGAAAUGCGCAGAUAUCGGGAAGAACACCUAUGGCGAAGGCAGCUCUCUGGGACGGUACUGACGCUGAGACGCGAAAGCGUGGGGAGCGAACAGG